rnacentral:misc_RNA from 1 species
AUUCUAACAAAAAGAGUAAGAAGCCAAUACACUUCAGAAAUUUUAAACAACUCAAUAUCAAAUCAUAAUUAUUAAGUACAUCCAUUUGUAGAUACAAUAAAUUGAUUAUAAUCAUUAAUUAUUUUUAGUUUUACUUGAAUCUCACUAUAAUCAAUAAUUAUAAUGAAUUCAGGGUACAUACAAUUUCGGACUGGAAAAUAAAGUUCUCAUACAUACUAAUAAUGGGAUCAAAUAAAACACAAAGUAGAUAGGACAUUGUGCAAGAGACGACUUCAAUGUUGUUAUGGGUUGGAAAGCAACUCUUUGCAGUUGCUUUUCUCAUAUUUGAACCUUCGGAUGCUGGCCAGGGGCUAGCAUUCCCAUCUUAAUGCCAUCUGUUUCUAUUAUAGCCCCUGCAAGAUUUUUUCUUGAAGCACUCGAUUAAAUCAUUUGCAGUGUCGAUACCUGCAAAAUAAGCACCAGUAGCAUAUCCUAUAUAAUUAUUGCUGGUGUGCUCCCCUGUGAAGUAUACAGGACCAAUAGGAUCCGCCAAUUGGUCUUUGCGUUUUUGACUGUAGCUAUCAGGCCAAUUAGAAUAGCUGCCCUUGUAGAACCUGUCCAAGCCCCAUCUAGGUACGAGAAUGGAUUCUGGUUUUGGAAUGUUAUCCCCAAACAACUUUUUAAGUAUUACCAUUAUCUCUGCUUCAAUUGCUUCAUCAGGCAAUUGCUCUAUUCUCCUUGACUCAUCAGCUGUUACCGUUACAAACAAUAUAUUUGAUCCUGGAUAUUCAUUCUCCAGAUGCUGCCAAAGUGGAUAGUAUCCACGCCUCACAUGGGUGUAGAGGAAGAACUCGGUUCCAGGGCCGGAAGGCCAGAACUUGUAAGGGAACUUUAGAAAGAUCUUGGUAUAUAUGGUCAUGCCAAAGUCUGAUAUUGCAAUUCUUUUCCAUAGCGGUAAAGUGGGCUGGAACUCAAUUAGGUCACUCUGAAGAACUCCAAGGCUGACAGAUACGAUAACAUACUUGGAAUUGUAUGUGGAACCAUCUUCAGUUUUUAUGGUAACUCCGCUCUUUGAGUAGCUUAUCUCUCUAACUACCUUAUUUAGCUUAAGCCUCGGAUCACUUGUCAAAGAAGAAAGGAACUGCUUAGCAAGAUACUGAACUACAAUCUCAAAGCCUCUCGGAUCAGCCACGAAGUAUGGAUCCUCUCCAUGGUCUACAAACUCGUUUCGAGGGUAAGUGUGCUUCAAACUAGUCACUUUUGGUGGCUCUGCGUCUUCAUAAUCAUUGUGAUAGAAGUCGAUCACCAUUUCAAGUGGGGUUUUGGGCACCUGUUUGAAUAUUCGCUGUGCUGCCAAAAUUGAAACAUCAACAUCCUUCUUUUUGGAUGACAAUUUUUUCGAAAACUUUUCACAGAAAUCAUCUCUGGCGGUGGCAACCUUAUCAAUUUCCUCUACCAGCUUGGAAGGGUAUAGUCCACCUUCUUGUUUAAAGGUGUUUGAUGUGAGAUUUUCAUAGUCAUUGAGGGAAGUUCUGAGCUUAAGUUUUUUGGCAAUGUCCAGCAAGGGAUUGGCCACAGGCCCCCCACCAAAAAGCCAAUUGGCACCCUUCUCAACAGUAAGUCCACUAAAUUGAGUUUUCAUGAGACGACCACCAAUCCUAGGAGUUGCCUCUACAAUCAACAUAUCAUGAAUCCCUGCCUCAUGUAGCGUUUUUGCUGCUGCAAUUCCUGAAAUUCCGGCUCCGAUGACAAUGACGGUGGGCGACGGUGAGGCCGAAGCAGCAGCCAAGAAGAAACAGAGAAGAAAGAGAAGCACCAUGGCCAAAAGCUUCUGCAUCAUACUUGAACAGCAAGUUGACUGCUGAUGACUACUGAGUGGGAAGGCUUCCCUGGAUUCCUAGUCAUAUUUGAAGCAAAGCAAACAAUACCAUAAUAUUCACAUAUUUUACUGUUUAUUAUCAACAGAAUCAUCCACGUUUGCAUAUGAAUUUGAAUAUAUUAUCAGAAUUAAUUCAACCAGAG